rnacentral:rRNA from 1 species
AGAAUGAACGUUGGCGGCGUGGAUUAGGCAUGCGAGUCGUGCGCGAAUUCGCCUUCGGGCGAAGGAGAGCGGCGAAAGGGAGAGGAAUACGUGAGAAUCUGCCCCUGGAUCGGGGAUAGCGGCGGGAAACUGCCGGUAAUACCCGAUAAUGUCUUCGGACCAAAGGUGUGAUUCCGUCCGGGGAUGAGCUCACGUCCUAUUAGCUUGUUGGCGGGGUAAUGGCCCACCAAGGCAAUGAUGGGUAGCUGGUGUGAGAGCAUGACCAGCCCCAUUGGCACUGAGACACUGGCCAGACACCUACGGGUGGCUGCAGUCGAGAAUCUUCGGCAAUGGACGAAAGUCUGACCGAGCGACGCCGCGUGCGGAUGAAGGCCCUUGGGUUGUAAACCGCUGUCGUAGAGGAGCAAGUAUUAGAGGUACUCUCUCUAGUUUGAGCGAUUCUAGGAGGAAGGAGAGGCUAAGCUCGUGUCAGCAGCCGCGGUAAUCGUA